rnacentral:rRNA from 1 species
UACGGGGGGGGCAAGCGUUGUUCGGAAUUACUGGGCGUAAAGGGCUCGUAGGUGGCCAACUAAGUCAGACGUGAAAGCCCUCGGCUUAACCGAGGAAUUGCGCUCUAAACUGUCGUACUUGAGGAACCUAGAGGUGAGCAGAACUGAUGGUGGAGCGGUGAAAUGCGUUGAUAUCAUCAGGAAUACCGGAGGCGAAGGCGGCUCACUGGGGGUUUUCUGACGCUGAGGAACGAAAGCCAGGGUAGCGAACGGG